rnacentral:rRNA from 1 species
CAACCAAAGCUGGCGACCGGCGCACGGUGAGUAACACGUAUCCGAACCUGCCUCAUACUCGGGGAUAGCCUUUCGAAAGAAAGAUUAAUAUCCGAUAGCAUAUAUUUCCCGCAUGGGUUUUAUAUUAAAGAAAUUCGGUAUGAGAUGGGGAUGCGUUCCAUUAGUUUGUUGGGGGGUAACGGCCCACCAAGACUACGAUGGAUAGGGGUUCUGAGAGGAAGGUCCCCCACAUUGGAACUGAGACACGGUCCAA